AGCGAACGCUGGCGGCAGGCUUAACACAUGCAAGUCGAGCGGGCGUAGCAAUACGUCAGCGGCAGACGGGUGAGUAACGCGUGGGAACGUACCUUUUGGUUCGGAACAACACAGGGAAACGUUAGUGCUAAUACCGGAUAAGCCCUUACGGGGAAAGGAUUAUCGCCGAAAGAUCGGCCCGCGUCUGAUUAGCUAGUUGGUGAGGUAACGGCUCACCAAGGCGACGAUCAGUAGCUGGUC
rnacentral:rRNA from 1 species